AACGAAAAAAAAGAAUGAAACUCCCGCCAUUACUGGCUUACAUAAUAUGUUCUUAAUCUCAAUACAGGAAGGAAUUCGAGUGUGACAAUAACUUCGUCUUUACUGUUUACUGUUAAUUUUGAUCUAAACUAGGCUAGAAGAUUGUUGAAACAAAAGCUACCCACUUUACGUGUGUGAAAAUGUCUGAUAAUAAAGGAACUAAGCGUAAGGUGACGAAAAACCAAACUGAUGAAAGUAUCAAAAAGAAUAAAUCUGAAAGAGCCUCAAAACGAAAAAGUGAUAUAACUGAAGAGUUGUUACUUCCCAAAAAGACCUGUGUUGAACCUGCUGUGGGAGCCAACAUCGGAUUCAUACGCGUUGAAUACUGUGUCUCCUGACGAGCGUUCAAGCGCAAAGCUGAGGAUCUUGUGGCGGCCUUGAGGCCAGCCUUUUCUCAGCUUGAAUUCUCGUACAAUCCUACCAAACCUCGUAGAGGUGCCUUUGAAUUUGUGGCUGUGGACAAGGAUGGAAAAGAAACUACAAUUUGGAGUGGCCAAAAUCGGGGACCACCUCGAAAAGAAAAAUUUCCAGACCCAGACGCUCUGCUAAAUCUCUUCAAGGAUCAUUUUAAUAAGGAUUAAUUUUUCUUUUGAUGUAAAAUUAUAAUAUUUUUACUUAAAGUUUUAUUGUGGGUUUAGGUUUUGUAGUUUUUAUGAUAAUUACUUGAUUAUGUUAGUUAUCUACAGCAGAACAUUGAAAAUCAGUUAUUCUUCCAAUACACAACAAUAAUUUUACCAAAUUGAUUUCUCUGCCUUAUUUCAUAUUUCAGAUUAUUGUGUUUUUUUAGCACAGUAUAGCAGCUUUUUUUUGUAUAUUAUUACAUUGUAGAAACUAAAAAAACCUAUAUGGAAAGAAGUGUAACGUUCAAUGUUGUUGUCCUUUUUGUUGUCUCAGCCUUUUUUUCGUUUUAUUUAAUAUAGCCCAACAACUGUUACAGUCAUUGUUUUUAUCCGCUUGUAUAAUUCACUGUUGUUUGCAACAUUUUGAAUAAAUAUUACAGUUAACAAAUGAAACUAACUUCUGAUUAUUCAUGUUUUGUUGGAAUGUUGAUUUUAAAUUCACCCGGGUUUAAAAUUUAAUUUCUUGUUGUAAAUUCUCUGCCUGGUGAUAAACAAGUCUAGACAUUAAUUUAUUUCUUUUGUCAACUGAUAACCUUCAGUCAACAUCGUUUCUGUUAUUUCCCUAUAACUUAAAUAUGAAUUACAAUAAUUUAUAAAUUCUUGUAUUUUCUGUCGUUCAUUUGCGUAAUACAGUUUGUUACUAACUGACAGCAAUUUAUAUAUAUAUGUAACCUCUCCAAGAUUUGUGUGGGUAUGAAAUACCUCUCAGAAGAAAAAUAAGUCUGAUCAAAAUUAUCAAAAUAUAAGGUCUUAUAAGAAUGUUUUUAUGGAUAUCUGAGGUAUAGGAAAAAGUUUCCCUUGCAAACCAAAAAAUAUUAUUUCUAAAAGAGACAGGUACCGGAAUGCUGCCUUUGCAUUAAAUCACUCUAAGGACAAAAGUUAUCAAGGUAAUGUUUUCAUUUUCAGCUGAAAAUAGAAAAUUUUUGACUAGGUAAAUGACAAAUUUUGUAAUAUUUUAAAUGUUUCCACAUCUUGCAAAAAAAUAUAUAACACACAGUAUCAUUUAUAUAGUAUAGAAUAAGUUUUUAAAUCUUGCUGAAACGUGAAAUAAAAAACUUACUUAUCAUUGUAAAAAAUUAGUAAUAUCAAAUAGAGGAUUAAAAGAUUCAAGUUGACUCGAAAGACAUAUUUUUACA